CUGCCCGCCAGUAUUUAAGCUCUUAGGAGGCCUGGGCUCGGUCUCUGUCCUCUCUCCCCUUCCCGCAGGGUGAGGUGUCUCCGCGGGCCGUGCGGCCUGACUCCUCCAUGGGGAGCUGGGCCCGGGCCGGCAGCAGAGCGCUCCUCGCCCCAGCCUGGCGGGGCCGUUCCGCCCGGUGGGGGCGGGGGACGCUGCUCCGGGGACUCUCCGACUCUGCCCCGUCGCCGGUAGACGCGGGAGCCCGGUGCGGGAGCGUGUCCGACGCGCUGGCGGAAGGAACGAGCUCUGGGCAGGUAAAUGGUCACACCUGACUGAAAUGCUUAUGAAGAUGCUUCUUAGGAAUGAAGAAGUUCCUCUGCUGAAAAAGUCCUCAAGAACAUGUUUACAAUUAUCAGAUGCCUAAAUGUACUUCAUAGAACUUGCAAGACACUAACAUGAAUCUCCUUGAAUGUGAAACUACCCUUAAAGAGUGACAAAUUCUCAGGGAAAAAUGAACAAAAUAUAAGGGAUUCAAACUUGCAGCUCCUGCUUUGGUGAAAGUGUGGCUGUGAUUACAGAAAACAAUUAAAUGAUCAUGGAUGAAAUCAGUAAUGUAUAAUGUGUAGAAAAACGGUAAGAUAAGUAAUGGCUAGAACAGCACAACAGUUGGUCGCUUCAGUUUGCAUGAUUAAACUUUUGACCUAAGCUCAUGUUUCAGUUCUGAAAUGGAAUAAAACUAGUCAUUCAUCUCUGAAUUAACUUUGAAUAAGUUGUCGGGUUGAGACAAAAUUAGUGUUUGGGGAAUAUCUUUUACACUAUAUUCAACUAAUAAAGAAUUUUGUAGUACA